GGGGGGGGGCAAGCGUUGUUCGGAAUUACUGGGCGUAAAGGGCGCGCAGGCGGCUUCGGGAAGUCAUGGGGUGAAAUCCCCCAGCUUAACUGGGGAACUGCCUGUGAAACCACGGAGCUGGAGUGCUGGAGAGGAAAGCGGAAUUCCUAGUGUAGCGGUGAAAUGCGUAGAUAUUAGGAGGAACAUCCGAGGCGAAGGCGGCUUUCUGGACAGACACUGACGCUGAGGCGCGAAAGCCAGGGGAGCAAACGGGAUUAGAUACCCCGGUAGUCCUGGCUGUAAACGAUGAGCACUUGGUGUGGGGGGUGCAUUCAGUCCCUCCGUGCCGGAGAAAACUCGUUAAGUGCUCCGCCUGGGGAGUACGGCCGCAAAGGCUG
rnacentral:rRNA from 1 species